rnacentral:rRNA from 1 species
GACGAACGCUGGCGGCGUGCUUAACACAUGCAAGUCGAACGGAAAGGCCCUGCUUUUGCGGGGUGCUCGAGUGGCGAACGGGUGAGUAACACGUGAGUAACCUGCCCUUGACUUUGGGAUAACUUCAGGAAACUGGGGCUAAUACCGGAUAGGAGCUCCUGCUGCAUGGUGGGGGUUGGAAAGUUUCGGCGGUUGGGGAUGGACUCGCGGCUUACCAGCUUGUUGGUGGGGUAGUGGCUUACCAAGGCUUUGACGGGUAGCCGGCCUGAGAGGGUGACCGGCCACAUUGGGACUGAGAUACGGCCCAGAAUCGUACGGGAGGCAGCAGUGGGAAAUAUGGCGCAAUGGGCCGAAGCCAGAUACAAAAACGCCGGGUGCGGGAUGACGUCCUUCGGGUUAUAAACCGCUUUCGCCUGAGACGAAGCGUGAGUGACGGUAAUGGGUAAAGAAGCACCGGCUAACUACGUG